CCUGUCAGGUGCAGCAGGUGUCACCUAGUCCACCUCCUCAGGGACCAAGGGCCACCAAGUCCACUCCACGCUCCACGGCCACAUCUAGAGCCACAUCUGCCACAUAGUGGGAACGAAGCACAACGGAAACCAAGGGACAAGACACUGUCUGGAGCCCAGCCAAUUCUGAACUUCACUACUCCCUACUGCUCGUUCAUGACAAGACCAGCAACACAAUACCAUCGUCCACAAACCCUCCAGGGUGAAGGAAAGGGCAGCCAUCACCUUGACUGUCAGCCCCAGAGCUUUCAGCUAUGGAAUCUGUCCACACAACUGUCCUUUGAAGAUUCCCGGAUGUGAAAGUCAGAGCCAGACACUUGCCUACAGAUGGAAACGUGGACUGCCUGGUCUAGUUGCAGCCUGGGAAAACUCACUGAUCCUCUCCGCUACUCACAAUCCCGUUUUGCAGAUGAGAAAGCAGAGGUAAAUACUUUGCCCAAGGC
rnacentral:lncRNA from 1 species